GAUUAUUUAUGCUCAUCGAGCAUGAGGAAAGAAAAGAAAGUACCACUAUCCAUCCAUUCUGGCCAUAAAAAAUGCUCUGUCUCUGAUUCAUGUCACCCCUUUAAUAUCAAGGAAUUGUGUAAUAAUCUUCAACACAAGUCUAUGAUUGAUUUCUUAUACCAAUCAGCCUGUCAACUUCAGCAAGAGACCAUACAAGUGGAAAAGUAAGACAGUAAGUUGGAUUAAUCAAGCAGAGAAAGGAGUUGAAAGCCAUAGCUGGGUCUGCAAACUGAAGCCUUCUCUAAAUUCUCAGAAAUUCUGGAAGAAAAUGUUGGAAAUUCCUCAGGAAAUGGAAAGUUUCUCUUGCUGCCAUGAUGUAAGAAGUGCCUUUCACCUCUCACCAUGAUUCUGAGCCCUCCCCAGCCAUGUGGAACUGAAACUUUUGCCCCUAGAGUCUUGGUACGACAAUCUGAAAUCAAGUUGCUUUUGUGUGGCUCUCUUUAAGUGUGGAUUGAUAUAAGUAUUGACCGUGUAUCCCAGGCUUCCUUGGAGUCCCAAGCUCAUCUCAGUUCAGCCACCUACCGACUAACCAAUAUAAUUAGCCAAUUAACAAAAAGAAAAGAAAAGAAAAGAAAAGAAAAAGAAGCCACGUGUUUUUAUUUGGAGAUGAGAGCAUCCAGUUUCACAUCACUACUGAACACAUGUUUGCUGCAGUUUACUAGAGGUCCACUUCAGACCCUCUUUGCCUGGGUAUCACCAGUGGAGGCUGCAGAACAGCCAAGAUUGCUGCCUGCUUCUUCCUCUGGAAGCUUCGUCCCAGAGGGACACCAGGCUGAUGCCAGCUGGAGCUCUCCUGUAUGAGGUGUCUGUCAGUCCCUGCUGGGAGGUCUCUCCCAGUCAGGAGGCUUGGGGGAUCAGGGACCCACUUGAGGAGGCAGUCUGUCCCUUAGCAGAGCUUGAGCACUAUGCUGGGAGAAUACUCCUUGUCAGGAUCAGCUGCUCUCUUCAGAGCCAGCAGGCAGGAAAGUUUAAGUCUGCUGAAGCUGUCCCCACAGCCGCCCCUUCCCCCAGGUGCUCUGUCCCAGGGAGAUGGGAGUUUUAUCUAUAAGCCCCUGACUGGCAUUUCUUUCAGAGAUGCCCUGCUGAGUGACGAGGAAUCCAGAGAGGCAGUCCGGCCACAGCCACUUUGCCACGCUGUGUUGAGUUCUGCCCAGUCCAAACUUCCAGGCCCCCUUAGCACUAUCAGGGGAAAACCACCUACUCAAGCCUCAGUAAUGGUGGACGCCCCUCCUCCUACCAAGCUCUAUCAUUCCAGGUUGACUUCAGACUGCUGAGCUGGCAGUGAGAAUUUCAAGCCAGUGGUUCUUAUCUUGCUGGGCACUGUGGGAGUGGGACCUGCUCGCUGAGUGAGACCACUUGGCUCCCUGGCUUCAGCCCCCUUUCCAGGGGAGUGAACGGUUCUGCCCCACUGGGGUUCCAGGAGCCACUGGGGUACAAGAAAAAAAAAAAAAAACUUCUGCAGCUAACUCAGCGUCUGCCCAAAUAACCGCCCAGUUUUGUGCUUGAAACCCAGAACCCUGGUGGUGUAGGCACACUAGGGAAUCUCCUGACCUGUGGAUUGCAAAAACCCUGGGAAAAGCGUAGUACCCAGGCCAGAUAGCACAGUCCCUCACAGCUUCCCUUUGGGUGGAGGAGGGAGGUCCCUGGCUCCUUACACUUUCCGGUGAGGUGACGCCCCACUUUGCUUCUGUUUGCCCUCUGUGGGCUGCACCCACUGCCUAACCAGUCCCAAUGAGAUGAACUGGGUACCUCAGAUAGAAAUGCAGAAAUCACCUGCCUUCUGCAUUGGUCUUGCUGGGAGCUGCAGACUGGAGCCAUCUUGCCAGAUUGAGUAAUUUCUUUCAACUUAGCUUUCUAAUCAAUUGUUAAAACAUGCAUAAUUAUUUAAAUAUUGGCAUAUGUAAAUUUGGAAGUACGGCAGUAUGGAAUAAACUAUUUUAUCCAACAUUUGAGGGAUAAUGCAUGUAAGACCAGGUGUAAUUCUCAUUUAAUUAAUAUCAGGCUCAUCAGUCUAUGCAGUUCCAUUUUCAAUAUUGACAUGUAUAAACAACAGAUGCAAAGCCUAUACACAUUCAAUAAAUUUUUUAUGACAUUA
rnacentral:lncRNA from 1 species